rnacentral:rRNA from 1 species
AGAGUUUGAUCAUGGCUCAGAUUGAACGCUGGCGGCAGGCUUAACACAUGCAAGUCGAACGAUGACUCUCUAGCUUGCUAGAGAUGAUUAGUGGCGGACGGGUGAGUAACAUUUAGGAAUCUACCUAGUAGUGGGGGAUAGCUCGGGGAAACUCGAAUUAAUACCGCAUACGACCUACGGGUGAAAGGGGGCGCAAGCUCUUGCUAUUAGAUGAGCCUAAAUCAGAUUAGCUAGUUGGUGGGGUAAAGGCCCUCCAAGGCGACGCUCUGUAACUGAUGUGAGAGGAUGAUCAGUCCCUCCUUAACCUGAGACACAGUCCGGACUAUUACGGCAGACUGC